CCCCGCACCUCCGGGCGUGGAUUCCUUUGAACUCGCUCUUUGUCCUCGCCUGCGUGGGCCUUUUUCUUGGUAGUGUUUUCCAGUUGCUCGGCUGUGUCUCCAGGUCCUCACAUUCUAUCUUCUGCCUGACCUACUCCUCCUAGGAAGGCUUUCCAUUGGGCCUUCUCAACGUGAGGUAGGCUUUCCAGUGAGUCUUCUCAACGUGAGGUAGCCUCCCUUGAGACCCAGGGCAAUGAAAACCGGAUUGCAGCCACAGGGCCGAGCAAUGAAUGCCCUUGCAUGUACAGAACCCUUGAUACAUCCCUCCAGCAAUCCCCUCUUUGCUUCGUAAGUCUUCCAGGAGGCCUUGAAAGAAGGACAGAGAGACCACCAUUGUGUUUAGACUCCACCAAAGGGCAGCGUGUGACCUUGCAAUACUCCCCAAGCCGUUCUCCCUUCCGGACAUAGGAAACGUUUAAGCCCACCCUAUGGGUUUAAAGCAGCCAUUAAACUAUGGUACCAAA